rnacentral:rRNA from 1 species
GAUGAACGCUGGCGGCGUGCCUAAUACAUGCAAGUCGAGCGAACAGACGAGGAGCUUGCUCCUCUGACGUUAGCGGCGGACGUGUGAGUAACACGUGGAUAACCUACCUAUAAGACUGGGAUAACUUCGGGAAACCGGAGCUAAUACCGGAUAAUAUAUUGAACCGCAUGGUUCAAUAGUGAAAGACGGUUUUGCUGUAACUUAUAGAUGGAUCCGCGCCGCAUUAGCUAGUUGGUAAGGUAACGGCUUACCAAGGCAACGAUGCGUAACCGACCUGAGAGGGUGAUCGGCCACACGGGAACUGAGACACGGUCCAGACUCCUACGAGAGGCAGCAGUAGGGAAUCUUACGCAAUGGGCGAAAGCCUGACGGAGCAACGCCGCGUGAGUGAUGAAGGUCUUCGGAUCGUAAAACUCUGUUAUUAGGGAAGAACAAAUGUGUAAGUAACUAUGCACGUCUUGACGGUACCUAAUCAGAAAGCCACGGCUAACUACGUG